UACGUAGGGACCGAGCGUUGUCCGGAUUCAUUGGGCGUAAAGAGCUCGUAGGCGGCCACUCACGUCGACUGUGAAACCUCGAGGCUUAACCUCGAGCCUGCAUUUGAUACUGGGCGGCUAGAGUCUGGUAGGGGGAUCUGGAAUUCCUGGUGUAGCGGUGAAAUGCGCAGAUAUCAGGAGGAACACCGGUGGCGAAGGCGGGACUCUGGGCCGAUACUGACGCUGAGGAGCGAAAGCGUGGGGAGCAAACAGG
rnacentral:rRNA from 1 species